AUUGAACGCUGGGGCAUGCUUUACACAUGCAAGUCGGACGGCAGCGGGGUAGUGCUUGCACUACUGCCGGCGAGUGGCGAACGGGUGAGUAAUAUAUUGGAACGUACCGAGUAAUGGGGGAUAACCAAUCGAAAGAUUGGCUAAUACCGCAUACGCUCUGAGGAGGAAAGCAGGGGACCUUCGGGCCUUGCGUUAUUCGAGCGGCCAAUAUCUGAUUAGCUAGUUGGUGGGGUAAAGGCCUACCAAGGCGACGAUCAGUAGCGGGUCUGAGAGGAUGAUCCGCCACACUGGGACUGAGACACGGCCCAGACUCCUACGGGAGGCAGCAGUGGGGAAUUUUGGACAAUGGGCGCAAGCCUGAUCCAGCCAUGCCGCGUGUCUGAAGAAGGCCUUCGGGUUGUAAAGGA
rnacentral:rRNA from 1 species